rnacentral:lncRNA from 10 species
CUCGAAUUGUAGCUCCCACAAUUCCCAUGUGUCAUGGGAGGGACCCAGCGGAAGAUAACUGAAUCAUGGGGGCAGUUUCCCCCAUACUGUCCUCAUGGUAGUGAAUAAGUCUCACCAGAUCUGAUGGUUUUGUAAAGGGGCAUUUCCCUGCACAAGCUUCCUCUUGCCUGCUGCCAUGUAAGAUGUGACUUUGUUCCUCCUUUGCCUUCUGCCUUGAUUGUGAGGACCCCUCAGCCACGUGGAACUCCUUGCCACAUGAAGAUGGCUUGCAAACAUCCAAAUAGAGUGAACAUAAUAAAACAAGAGCCUGGCUACUGAAUAUGGAAAUCCAUCAUUGUCUUUGUGUGAAAGCCAAGAUAAGUGCAGUGAGCUUCUUAGAAGCCACAAGUCUUUUGCCCAAGAAGUCCCCAGUAUCCUUGACAAACUUAGAGAGCCCUAAUGCUUUCAUCCAAACUUCUUUCUCCCUCUCCUUCACUGGGUUAGAAUUGUAUCAUGCUCUGAAGACUCACCCAACCCUUUCAUCCAACCUUUUCAUUUGUUCUCAUAGGUGUUUCUUCUAAUAAAUUUUUGCAGAUUUUUGAAAUUCUUCCUCAGCAGUUGCUUCCUGCAGGAUCUGAAGUAACCCAUUGUGGGACAAUGUUUUUCCUAUUUAAGGAGAGAUGGACUUGAUUAGCCAUUAACAGAAACGUUUAGACGCUUGAUAUGUGUGGUGGUUAACACUGAGUGUCAACUUGAUUGGAUUGAAGAAUGCAAAGUAUUGUUCCUGGAUGUGUCUGUGUGGGUGUUGCCAAAGGAGAUUAACAUUUGAGUCAGUGGACUGGGAGAGACAGACCCACCCUCUAUCCAUGUGGUCACCAUCUAAUCAGCUGCAAGAGCAGCUAGAAUAAAGCAGGCAGAAGAAGCUGGAAGAACCAGACUUGCUGAGUCUUCCGGCCUUCAUCUUUCUCACAUGGUGGAUGCUUCCUGCCCUUGAACAUCAGACUCCAAUUUCUUCAGCUUUUGGACUCCUGGAUUUGCACCAGUGGUUUGCCUUUGUCCAUAGACUGCAAGCUGUACUACUGGCUUCCCUACUUUUGAGGUUUUGGGACUCAGACUGGCUUCCUUCCUCCUGAGCUUACAGACACUCUGUUGUGAGACUUCAAAUUGUGAUUGUAUGAGUCAAUACUCCUUAAUAAACUCUCUUUCAUAGAUAUUUCUGUCCUAUUAGGCCUGUCCCUCUAGAGAACCCUGACUAAUACAAUAUGUUUUUAUAUUUCUAAUAGAAAAUAGAAAAGUAUAGCUUAGGAAAUCCCAAGUUUGGGGACAUCAUCACUGGCAAUAAUUUUCUGUAAAGAAAAUAAAACUCAUAAUCCGGGUUGCUGGGAGAACAGUGACCUAGUAUAAUCCUGAAAAUUGACCAUGAAUACACCCUAUGUAUUCGUUUCUUAUUGCUGCUGUAACAAAUUACCACCUACUUAGUGGCUAAAAAAACUGGCUAGACAUAGUGGUUCAUGCUUGAAAUCCCAGCACUUUGGGAAGCUAAGGCAGGAGAAUCACUUGAUUCUGUGAGUUUUAGACCAGCCUUAGGAAACAUAGUGAGACCCCGACUCUAGUAAAUACUAAAAAUAAGCCAGCUGCAGCAGGCAGUUGAUGUCAGGGUAUCAUUUGAAUGCAGGCGUUUGAGGCUGCAGUGAGCUGUGAUUGUGCUACUAUGCUCCAGCCUGGACAGCAGAGUGAGACUCUAUCUCAAGGAAAAAAAAUUCACAUAUUUAUUACCUUACUGUUCUUGAGGUAAGUAAUGAUGUACAACAUUAGUCUUGUUGGGCUAUAAUCAAGGUGUGUGCAGGGUUGGUUCUUUCUGGAAUCUCUGCAAGAGAAUCUGUUUCCUUGCCUUUUACACCUUCUGGAAGCUGCUUGCAUUCCUGGGCUAGAGACCUCUUCCUCUCAUCACUCAACUCAGAUUAUCCAGGAUAUUCACCAUCCCAAGAUCCUCAAUUUAAUCACAUAGGCAAAGUCCUUUUCUGUGUAAAGUAAUAUAUUAACUAGUUCUGGGGUUAGGAUGUGGAAACCCUUUCUUUUCAACCCUCCUAAAAACAGAGAGAGAAACAUUGGAUGAUAGAAACCAUUGUCCAGACAUAAGAAGCAGUUUAUAAGUAACUUUGUUGUUCUGACUCAGAAAUCUGGAACUCUCCCAUAAAAUCCGUUAAUUAGUCUGAGACCAUACAAGAAAAAGGGAGUUGCCCUUGAUCUUUGAAAAAGAAUGUUUUAUGAAAUGAAAGGGCAAGUAAAAGCUGAGGAAAAAAAUUAGCAAGCUCAAAAUUAAUCUAGACAUAAUAUAUUUAUAUUAAUACUAUCCUCAAUUUGUUCUACCAACUAUGUUAUAAAAUCUUUCUGCUUGUUUUUUCUUUCAAAUAAGAGGAAAAAAAUUUGGUAGCAAGCAUGCUUUCUUUUAUACUCAAAAGUGAGAGUCCCUGAAGAAUUUGCUUUUUCCAAAUUAUAUAUGACAAGCAUGAAUUCAUAAUGUUUUUCUCAUCUAUUUUCUUUAAUAAAAAAUAUCUCAGUGUGAUGUUCAAGGAAAGGCUGCAAAUCUUAUAUAAAGAUAUUUCUUUUUAACUUAUAUCAUACAAACAAAAUAAAUUUAGAUAAAUGAAUUGCCUUGAAAAUUGUGAUAAUGAAUAAAACAGAACCUAUGCCUAAAGAAAAGGACACAGGAAUUGUUCAGGUUGACUUUUUGUUGUUGUUGCAGUUAUGUUUAGACUGUUAUAUUUCCCAAGUAAACUUCUUAUGAAAGAGAAAAAUUCUGAAUAGAGCCUAAGUUUGUGUUGUAAUUGACAGUAAAGUAAAG